rnacentral:rRNA from 1 species
UACGGAGGGAGCUAGCGUUGUUCGGAAGUACUGGGCGUAAAGCGCACGUAGGCGGCUUUUUAAGUCAGAGGUGAAAUCCCGGGGCUCAACCCCGGAACUGCCUUUGAAACUGGAGAGCUAGAAUCUUGGAGAGGCGAGUGGAAUUCCGAGUGUAGAGGUGAAAUUCGUAGAUAUUCGGAAGAACACCAGUGGCGAAGUCGACUCGCUGGACAAGUAUUGACGCUGAGGUGCGAAAGCGUGGGGAGCAAACAGG